rnacentral:rRNA from 1 species
UACGUAGGGUGCGAGCGUUAAUCGGAAUUACUGGGCGUAAAGCGUGCGCAGGCGGUUUUGUAAGCCAGAUGUGAAAUCCCCGGGCUCAACCUGGGAAUGGCAGUGGAUACUGGCAAGCUAGAGUGUGUCAGAGGAUGGUGGAAUUCCCGGUGUAGCGGUGAAAUGCGUAGAGAUCGGGAGGAACAUCAGUGGCGAAGGCGGCCAUCUGGGACAACACUGACGCUGAGGCACGAAAGCGUGGGGAGCAAACAGG